GAUGAACGCUGGCGGCGUGCUUAACACAUGCAAGUCGAACGAAGCACUUUAUUUGAUUUCCUUCGGGAUUGAUUAUUUUGUGACUGAGUGGCGGACGGGUGAGUAACGCGUGGGUAACCUGCCUUGUACAGGGGGAUAACAGUUGGAAACGGCUGCUAAUACCGCAUAAGCGCACAGCAUCGCAUGAUGCAGUGUGAAAAACUCCGGUGGUAUAAGAUGGACCCGCGUUGGAUUAGCUAGUUGGUGAGGUAACGGCCCACCAAGGCGACGAUCCAUAGCCGACCUGAGAGGGUGACCGGCCACAUUGGGACUGAGACACGGCCCAAACUCCUACGGGAGGCAGCAGUGGGGAAUAUUGCACAAUGGGCGAAAGCCUGAUGCAGCGACGCCGCGUGAGCGAAGAAGUAUUUCGGUAUGUAAAGCUCUAUCAGCAGGGAAGAUAAUGACGGUACCUGACUAAGAAGCACCGGCUAAAUACGUGCCAGCAGCCGCGGUAAUACGUAUGGUGCAAGCGUUAUCCGGAUUUACUGGGUGUAAAGGGAGCGCAGGCGGUGCGGCAAGUCUUAUGUGAAAGCCCGGGGCUCAACCCCGGUACUGCAUUGGAAACUGUCGUACUAGAGUGUCGGAGGGGUAAGCGGAAUUCCUAGUGUAGCGGUGAAAUGCGUAGAUAUUAGGAGGAACACCAGUGGCGAAGGCGGCUUACUGGACGAUAACUGACGCUGAGGCUCGAAAGGGUGGGGAGCAAACAGGAUUAGAUACCCUGGUAGUCCACGCCGUAAA
rnacentral:rRNA from 1 species